rnacentral:lncRNA from 1 species
CCCCCCCCCCCCUCCCUCUGUUGUUGACUUAUUUGUCCUAGUCAGCAUAAUGCCUUGUAGGUGUGUACUUAAAUGCAUUGUGUGUUUGUCAGCCUAUACUCCAACCCUCUCCUUGCCUUACUGGAGAUCUCUCCACUAAUCCCAAAGUUGAUUUAGAUAUACGAGUCCUUGCGCUACAAAUCAAAAUUGUGUCUUAACUGAAAAUGUUAGAUAUUCACUUACGUAGACCGAUACCCAAACUCUGACAAAUUUCAAAUUCCCAUUAUUAAAAAACUUUUCAUACUUGAUCUCGACCAUAGUCAUAUGCAGGCAGGUAAAAUUAUGUGUAUGUAGAUGUCAUCCUAGCUAAUUUGAUGACAAGGUAUGCAGAUACAAUUUUUUUUUACAAUUAAAUAUCGAUGCAUCUUAUACAUUUGUUUUGACAUUGUUUAUUUCUUUUAACAUUGCAUGUCAUACGAAUUGUUAGGUUAAGUGUUUAACUUUUUUCUAUUUGCUUUUUUAUAAGGUCGUUUGUGAAUAGGUUUAUUCUCCACCUGGUAACUAUUCGCUUUUUCUGCUGCUAUUGUUUUCUAUCCUUUUCACCUUGCUGAAAGAAUCAAUCAGAGAUCUUUUGCUCGUGAGUGGUAUGCAAAAUGAUAGGUGCUUAAUGGUGCCAACCUAGUGUGGAGUCCCCCUUUCUAUGGGUUUUAUGUAGAGCUUAUGAUUCUUACUGAAACCGUUCUACUUUUAAAAUCUGAAGUAAAAGUUGUUUGAUAUUCAUCUGAUAGAUCUUUAUUAGAGUUUUCUUAAAUCUAGUUCUUAGGAAAAAAAAGUCCCAAAGCUAGUUGGGAUUACGAGUGAUGAGUGGUGGUACUUCAAUGUCUGCUUUGCUUGUGUGCAGUGUGUUUAGUUUGCAUGUAUAUGUAUGAGAAAUUUAGCAUAUUCUGUGACCCUUGCAUCUCAAAAUGUUGUGUUUGUGAUCCGAAUUUUUUCAUGUUAUCAUCCUUUCUUUUUUCAGAUAAUCUUGAAUUUUUUCACUAGUUUUGCAGGUUCAGGUUCCCCUGCUUCAUCAGGAUAAGGCCUUGCUCUUAUGACACUUACCAUGAAAUUUAUGUACAGGUUGUUGGGUGCUCUUUAACUGGAGUUAUUUACAGGAUUUAACAGAUAAAGUGGAAUGCAAGUGCUUCUUCAACAGACAGCAAAGUACCUGAUGGUGUCCGUUUGGUGAUUUCUUUUUAUUGUUUUUUUUCUCUCAGGGUGCAGGUUUAUCUUGAAAAAGAGUAGGAAAUAGGUGGAACUUUUCUCUAGUGCUUUGAGGAAGAAUUGUCUUUUUAUUUCAGUUCUGAAGAACACUUCUAUCUGUUUUUUUUUUUCUAGUAAAUGAAUUUCUGAAUGUUACCCUAGAUUUCUUAUGACUUGUGUACAUUUUGCUCGUGUGUAUUUUGUUUCUUAUAUAACUGUAGCUGGUGUUUUUUAUUCUUAUAUAACUGUAGCUAAUGGCAUGAACUUCGAAAUGCAUCUUGGGAGACAACUAUUGCAUCGGU